GGCCUGAUGGUCUAGUAGUAUGAUUCCUUGUUAGGGUGUUUCACCAAUAUCGAGGAGGUCCUGGGUUCAAUUCCCAGUUAGGCCC